rnacentral:rRNA from 1 species
GUCUAUGACCAUGCCACCCUGAACAAGCCUGAUCCUGUCUGAUCUUAGAAGCUAAACAGGGUCGGGCCUGGUUAGUACUUGGAUGGGAGACCACCUAGGGAGAUCAGGUGCUGUUGGAG